UACGUAGGGUGCAAGCGUUGUCCGGAAUUAUUGGGCGUAAAGAGCUCGUAGGCGGUCUGUCGCGUCGGCUGUGAAAACCUGCAGCUUAACUGUGGGCGUGCGGUCGAUACGGGCAUCACUGGAGUUCGGCAGGGGAGACUGGAAUUCCUGGUGUAGCGGUGGAAUGCGCAGAUAUCAGGAGGAACACCGGUGGCGAAGGCGGGUCUCUGGGCCGAUACUGACGCUGAGGAGCGAAAGCGUGGGGAGCGAACAGG
rnacentral:rRNA from 1 species